rnacentral:rRNA from 1 species
AUUGAACGCUGGCGGCAGGCCUAACACAUGCAAGUCGAGCGGAUGAAGGGGGCUUGCUCCUGGAUUCAGCGGCGGACGGGUGAGUAAUGCCUAGGAAUCUGCCUGGUAGUGGGGGAUAACGUCCAGAAACGGGCGCUAAUACCGCAUACGUCCUGAGGGAGAAAGUGGGGGAUCUUCGGACCUCACGCUAUCAGAUGAGCCUAGGUCGGAUUAGCUAGUUGGUGGGGUAAAGGCCUACCAAGGCGACGAUCCGUAACUGGUCUGAGAGGAUGAUCAGUCACCCUGGAACGGAGACACGGUCCAGACUCCUACGGGAGGCAGCAGUGGGGAAUAUUGGACAAUGGGCGAAAGCCUGAUCCAGCCAUGCCGCGUGUGUGAAGAAGGUCUUCGGAUUGUAAAGCACUUUAAGUUGGGAGGAAGGGCAGUAAGUUAAUACCUUGCUGUUUUGACGUUACCAACAGAAUAAGCACCGGCUAACUUCGU